rnacentral:rRNA from 1 species
GACGAACGCUGGCGGCGUGCCUAAUACAUGCAAGUAGAACGCUGAAGAGAGGAGCUUGCUCUUCUUGGAUGAGUUGCGAACGGGUGAGUAACGCGUAGGUAACCUGCCUUGUAGCGGGGGAUAACUAUUGGAAACGAUAGCUAAUACCGCAUAACAAUGGAUGACACGUGUCAUUUAUUUGAAAGGGGCAAUUGCUCCACUACAAGAUGGACCUGCGUUGUAUUAGCUAGUAGGUGAGGUAAUGGCUCACCUAGGCGACGAUACAUAGCCGACCUGAGAGGGUGAUCGGCCACACUGGGACUGAGACACGGCCCAGACGCCUACGGGAGGCAGCAGUAGGGAAUCUUCGGCAAUGGGGGCAACCCUGACCGAGCAACGCCGCGUGAGUGAAGAAGGUUUUCGGAUCGUAAAGCUCUGUUGUAAGUCAAGAACGGGUGUGAGAGUGGAAAGUUCACACUGUGACGGUAGCUUACCAGAAAGGGACGGCUAACUACGUG